rnacentral:rRNA from 1 species
AUACGAAAGGUGCAAGCGUUGUUCGGAUUUACUGGGCGUAAAGAGAGUGUAGGUGGUUUAUUAAGUCGGAUGUGAAAUCCCGGGGCUCAACCUCGGAACUGCAUUCGAUACUGAUAGGCUAGAGUUUGGGAGGGGUAAGCGGAAUUCCGUGUGUAGCAGUGAAAUGCGUAGAUAUACGGAGGAACACCUGAGGCGAAGGCGGCUUACUGGACCAAUACUGACACUGAGACUCGAAAGCGUGGGUAGCAAACAGGAGUAGAAACCCCAGUAGUCC